rnacentral:rRNA from 1 species
GAUUCUGGCUCAGGACGAACGCUGGCGGCGUGCCUAACACAUGCAAGUCGAGCGAGGAGAUCCUUCGGGAUGAUCCUAGCGGCGGACGGGUGAGUAACACGUGGGCAACCUGCCUCAUAGAGAGGAAUAGCCUUCCGAAAGGGAGAUUAAUACCUCAUAACAUUGCAGUUUCGCAUGGAACAGCAAUUAAAGGAGCAAUCCACUAUGAGAUGGGCCCGCGGCGCAUUAGCUAGUUGGUGAGGUAACGGCUCACCAAGGCGACGAUGCGUAGCCGACCUGAGAGGGUGAUCGGCCACAUUGGGACUGAGACACGGCCCAGACUCCUACGGGAGGCAGCAGGUGGGGAAUAUUGCACAAUGGGGGAAACCCUGAUGCCAGCAACGCCGCGUGAGUGAUGACGGCCUUCGGGUUGUAAAGCUCUGUCUUCAGGGACGAUAAUGACGGUACCUGAGGAGGAAGCCACGGCUAACUACGUGCCAGCCGCCGC